AGUGAAACAAAAGCCAUUUUCUCUGGUGGAAUUCUGGGGCAUUGCCAUGAACAGGAACACAGAAUUGAGCAGCAGGUCAAGGUCUUGCAGGCACUGGAACAAGAGGAUUUGGCAGAAGGUGAUGCUCAGAACAGCACCAAGGUCCUGUUCCCACCCCAGAAGGGCAGAUCACAUGUGCUACCAAAUAUUAAACAUUCAGUCUGAGGAGCAGAGUGCAUGGACUAUUUCAGGGUUCAGAUUUCAGCAUGAAUUUGAUG